AUAUUAAUAAGCGGAGGAAAAGAAACUAACAAGGAUUCCCCUAGUAACGGCGAGUGAAGCGGGAAGAGCUCAAACUGAAAAUCGGGAUGCUAAGCGGUAUUCCGAGUUGUGGUCUAGAGAUGGCAUGUCAGCUAUGACCCCGGUAUAAAUCUUUUGGAAUAAGGUAUCAUAGAGGGUGAGAAUCCCGUCUUUGACUGGGAGUUCGUAGCGUACGACAUGCUUUCUUAGAGUCGAGUUGUUUGGGAUUGCAACUCUAAAUGGGAGGUAAAUUUCUUCUAAAGCUAAAUAUCAGCGAGAGACCGAUAGCGAACAAGUACCGUGAGGGAAAGAUGAAAAGAACUUUGAAAAGAGAGUUAAAAAGUACUUGAAAUUGUUAAGAGGGAAGCGAUGGCAACCAGUAGUGCUUGGUAGAGUUUUCUAGUUGUGCGGCAGGUCGGGAGUUAGGCAGAGGUUCCGUAUGGUCCUGGUCUGCUCUUUGGCUUGUUGUCGGCUAGCGUAGCUUUAUUGAGCGAGUCAGCAUCAGUUUGACUGCGUGAGAGAAAGUGUAGAGGAAGGUAGGAUCCGGUAGCAAUACCGUAUCUGUUAUAGACUUUACAUGCUAUCAUGUGUUGGACUGAGGUUUUGUAAACACGGCCGCAAGGAUCGCCUCCUAUCUUCUGCGG
rnacentral:rRNA from 1 species